rnacentral:rRNA from 1 species
GAUGAACGCUGGCGGCGUGCCUAAUACAUGCAAGUCGAGCGAACAGACGAGGAGCUUGCUCCUCUGACGUUAGCGGCGGACGGGUGAGUAACACGUGGAUAACCUACCUAUAAGACUGGGAUAACUUCGGCAAACCGGAGCUAAUACCGGAUAAUAUAUUGAACCGCAUGGUUCAAUAGUGAAAGACGGUUUUGCUGUCACUUAUAGAUGGAUCCGCGCCGCAUUAGCUAGUUGGUAAGGUAACGGCUUACCAAGGCAACGAUGCGUAGCCGACCUGAGAGGGUGAUCGGCCACACUGGAACUGAGACACGGUCCAGACGCCUACGGGAGGCAGCAGUAGGGAAUCCUCCGCAAUGGGCGAAAGCCUGACGGAGCAACGCCGCGUGAGUGAUGAAGGUCUUCGGAUCGUAAACCUCUGUUAUUAGGGAAGAACAAAUGUGUAAGUAACUAUGCACGUCUUGACGGUACCUAAUCAGAAAGCCACGGCUAACUACGUG